rnacentral:rRNA from 1 species
AGAGUUUGAUCCUGGCUCAGAACGAACGCUGGCGGCAGGCCUAACACAUGCAAGUCGAGCGCACCUUCGGGUGAGCGGCGGACGGGUUAGUAACGCGUGGGAAUGUACCCUUCUCUACGGAAUAGCCAUUGGAAACGAUGAGUAAUACCGUAUACGCCCUUCGGGGGAAAGAUUUAUCGGAGAAGGAUCAGCCCGCGUUAGAUUAGAUAGUUGGUGGGGUAAUGGCCUACCAAGUCUACGAUCUAUAGCUGGUUUUAGAGGAUGAUCAGCAACACUGGGACUGAGACACGGCCCAGACUCCUACGGGAGGCAGCAGUGGGGAAUCUUAGACAAUGGGCGCAAGCCUGAUCUAGCCAUGCCGCGUGAGUGAUGAAGGCCUUAGGGUCGUAAAGCUCUUUCGCCAGGGAUGAUAAUGACAGUACCUGGUAAAGAAACCCCGGCUAACUCCGUGCCAGCAGCCGCGGUAAUACGGAGGGGGUUAGCGUUGUUCGGAAUUACUGGGCGUAAAGCGCACGUAGGCGGAUUAGAAAGUAUGGGGUGAAAUCCCAGGGCUCAACCCUGGAACUGCCUCAUAAACUCCUAGUCUAGAGUUCGAGAGAGGUGAGUGGAAUUCCGAGUGUAGAGGUGAAAUUCGUAGAUAUUCGGAGGAACACCAGUGGCGAAGGCGGCUCACUGGCUCGAUACUGACGCUGAGGUGCGAAAGUGUGGGGAGCAAACAGGAUUAGAUACCCUGGUAGUCCACACCGUAAACGAUGAAUGCCAGUCGUCGGAUAGCAUGCUAUUCGGUGACACACCUAACGGAUUAAGCAUUCCGCCUGGGGAGUACGGUCGCAAGAUUAAAACUCAAAGGAAUUGACGGGGGCCCGCACAAGCGGUGGAGCAUGUGUUUAAUUCGAAGCAACGCGCAGAACCUUACCAACCCUUGACAUCCUGUGACAACUCGAGAGAUCGAGCGUUCCUUAGGGACACAGUGACAGGUGCUGCAUGGCUGUCGUCAGCUCGUGUCGUGAGAUGUUCGGUUAAGUCCGGCAACGAGCGCAACCCACAUCUUUAGUUGCCAGCAGUUCGGCUGGGCACUCUAAAGAAACUGCCCGUGAUAAGCGGGAGGAAGGUGUGGAUGACGUCAAGUCCUCAUGGCCCUUACGGGUUGGGCUACACACGUGCUACAAUGGCAAGUACAGUGGGUUAAUCCCCAAAACUUGUCUCAGUUCGGAUUGGGGUCUGCAACUCGACCCCAUGAAGUCGGAAUCGCUAGUAAUCGCGGAACAGCAUGCCGCGGUGAAUACGUUCCCGGGCCUUGUACACACCGCCCGUCACACCAUGGGAGUUGGUUCUACCCGACGGCCGUGCGCUAACUUCUUCGGAAGAGGCAGCGGACCACGGUAGGAUCAGCGACUGGGG